ensembl:lncRNA
GAAUAAUUUCAUAUUUUAUUUCUAAUUAUAGCUGAGUCAAAAGAACAUAUCUCUGUACAAGACGAGAUACAUAUUAAGGGAUGGAGACCAAUCAAGCACUUUUUUUACAUUUGUGAACUUUUUGUUACUCUUUCAGAGGACCUCAUGGGCUACUUCCUGAAAAUAGGAAAAAAUUCUUCUUCCUGAAAAUUCUCUGUAAAAAAUUUUUAAAGUUUCAUCUCUCCGUGUAAGACACAAAAUCUAAUUUUCAUGGGAGAAUAGUCAGCCACAUUUCAGCUGUGGUACAAAGAUGGCUAUUUGUGUUGGGGGCAGUUUGGGCUUACAUGUUGGGAAGGAAGAAGAUAAAAUCACUGAGGAUCAGUAUCUACUCAUAGGCAAUGCAGUGCAGACUGGCAGGAACUCUUCAUAGUGUGCUUUGGUGUAAUGGUUGUUUAAUACAGAAGAUUGUGGUACUGCUGCCUCUCCUCUCAUCCCAUUGCUGGCCCAGGAUUUCUAAAGGCUGCAGUGCCUUUCCUGGCAUCAGAACUGAUGCCUUAGCUGAAAAUAGAGGUAUGGGAAAAGAUUCUUGUAUUAAAUCCCCAACACAAAAGCAAUUGCAUCACAGAUAGAGAUCUCUCAAAUAUAUUAUUCAUGGACUAAUUAAGCUGUGACCUGGAAUUAGCAUGUGGAGGACUGAAAUACAUCACGUGCUGUAUACUAUCCAUGAGUGGUAUACAAGGGUUUACUAACAGAGCACCAUGUUAAUCUUAUUAAUUCAUACCUUGCUUAACUACGGGAAGGGACUUCAAUCCAGAACCUGAUACAGCUCCAGCAAAAUGCACAUCUAUAUCUUGUAAGUAUCUUAUGAUCUCUGUGAUGUUAAGAUUUAUACAGUUCAUAUUUACUUUUCUUUUAACAACAUUGGCAUCUGAAUAAUAGAUAUUUGAACUUUAUGACUAGGACAUCUAGAAUACUUCAUGUCUUGGAGAACCAGGUAAUACCUAAGAUUUAGAGUUCUCAGCAGGAAAAUGUGCAACCUUGGUGUACAACAGGCAACUUUACUGUAAUGCUGUUACUGUUGUGUCAAAGGGUUUUUGAUUAGAAUACUAUUGGGAGUGAUGGUCAUUGCAGAUCCAUUGCACUAGCGUAGACACCACUGCAUCCACGUAGUUGCUGCAAGCACAGAAUUUUGUUCUGUCUGCACACACAGCUUUAGUCACAAGAGCAUAUCGUUUUCCUCCCCACAGACUGGGGAGAUAACAGCAUGAUGGGAGCCAGAGCAUGGGAAGAGAGAGAUGACCGUGUUUGUCUGCUCCCUGCAGAUAUCUCAGAAACACUCCUAAGAUGGAGCUACACCAGUGUCAUGGAUGUGGAUGAAACCGAUUCCUCUUCAGAUUUGGAUUAAGAACACACCAAUCUGCUUCAGUUUUCUGGAAAGCAUAACACUUCUUAUCCUCCACAUUCAUGUGAGAAGAGUUAUCAAAUGAGGUCUGAUUUAAUUAAAAGUAGGUAUAAUCUCCACAAACAUAUGAGAGCCAGUCAGAAAAAAAGGUAAGUCUUUG